UAUGCCCUAUUUUAUUUCUACGAGAUGGUGCGGCGGGGCGAACAGGAGCGGCCGAGCGAACCUUUCCAACCGCCUAUUCUCUCCGAAGGGGAGCCUUACCAGUUGUCCCGGCCACGACAACCGGUCGGAAAGGCCAUUCUUCGCUGACUUCAUUGACGCAUUGAACCGUCGGGGCGGUAUAGUCCUGAUCAUAGAGCAAGGAAUAGGUUUUAUUCUUUUAAUGAGUAGCGGGCUCGGAACCUAGCACUAUCGUUCUUCAGGCAUUUAACAUCGAUCAACAUCCAUUGAGGUGGUGUGUCUUUGAAGUCAGAUCAAUUCAUGUGAUAAGUGUUUUUUUUUUAGCGGGGUAUUCACCCGUCGUCAUCCGCUAUCAUCUCCGAAAAGGCGUUUGGCAGCGUGACUAAUCCUCGGCUGACCUAGAAGAGACACUCACCCCAGAAACCUCUUGGUUCGUACUUGAUUGAGCCAUACUUAAGAGGCGUUGUCGCUCUAGGGGAAUUGAGCACGGAUUCGGGGGUUCCCAACUGUACUCGUCCACUAAUCAAAAGCAAUGGCGGAUAGUUUUUUUUUUUUAAUUAUUGAAUUGUUGUGUUUGAAAGAAAUAUUAUAUAUGUUUUGAUGUUGAACUAUGCUGAAUUUAUAGUUGCAAACAUUAUUAUAUUUGUUA